GCUACUACCGAUUGAAUGGUCUAGCGAGAUGCUCGGAUCGGGCCCAGCCCGUGCGAAAGCAUGUGCCGGGACUGAGAAGAAGUUCAAGCUUGAUCAUUUAGAGGAAGUAAAAGUCGUAACAAGGUUUUCGUAGGUGAACCUGCAGAAGGAUCAAGACCGGACGAGCCUCGUGUACGCCAACACCGUAGCUCCCCCUGGUCCCCGCACCAUCCCACAACCACCCCCCCCCCCCACCCCCCCCCCCCCCCCCCCCCCCCCCCCCCCCCCCCCCCCACC
rnacentral:misc_RNA from 1 species